GACGUCCUUUUUUCCGGGAGCUGCAUGGGGACUGCAGGAGUCUAAAACCUCGCUGUGAUUUAUGGGGAAUAGUUAUUAAUAUUGGGUCAAAUAAUCCAGUAUUUCACUCUGGUGCUGAAGGUCCGCUGUGCUGCUCUUUACUGAGUUUCCCCCUUUACUCUGUUUUCGUUUAAAGCCCCUCAGUCUUAAAACAGAGGCACCAGCGGGCCUUCCGCACCGAUAGUGAUUAUUACCCUGCCGGUAGUGUAGCGCGGCGGAGCUCUGUAAGUCCCGGCCCAGUUCCAAAAGACACAACAUCCUCAGUGUCCUGGAGAUCCAGCUGAAGCACUGGCCACUCCACCUUCUCCAUCCCCAAAAGAGGAAGAUCAGCAGCAGUGGAGGGUCCCAGGAUGUUGAGAUGGUAGUGCAUAGCGGUACUUCUAAGGCAGCUAGUUGAAGGCGUGAUUGAGGUCCAUGCCAGAGGGGUUCUGCACUGUGACCUCAAGCCAUAGAACAUCCUGGUUCAGAUGUACAGUUAGGAACCACGCCUUCAUCUUCUGUUCUUCUGGACCUUCCUCAUGAGUGGUUUACCCAUGAGGCCAAAUCCUCCACAGUGUUGCAGAUAGGAAUCAUCCUGCUGUGUGUGAGAGGUGACCCUUCAACACCAGCAUGGAGAUCACCUCAAAGAAGUCUCAGAUCAUCUCUCCACCAUCUGCUCUAUGACCCCUGGCGAAGUAUACACCACGACACAGCCACCACAUCAGGCACACCUCAGUCAGGUACCAUAUAAAACAAUAAUAAUAAUAAUAAUUUAAAAAAUCUAUUUUCAAUCUCUAGUUUAGAGAGUUCUCUAGUAGAGCUGGGCGAUUAAUCGAUUUUAUCGAUAAAUUCGAAUUUACAGUUAAGGACAAUGUGUUUUUAUGAAAAUCGAUUUUCUCUGAGUUUUCUUUUUCACUACAGACGCUCCUCUGUGGGCACAGAGUGAGCUUAGCUAGCUCCCUCCAUACCUCCCUCCCUCCCGUGCGCGCACCCCCCGCCCCUCCCUCACUCCCUCCCUCCCUCCCUUGCACGCACAAACACACACAUACAUACACAAAACACAUGACUGCGGAGCUUAAGAGCAACUAGCUCCGUGAUCUGGAGUUGGUUCGGUUUUGCGGCGUCGGACGUAGACCAAACAGGUCCUCGCUGUAAGGUGAACCAAUUUAUCACUAUACCUUAAACAGAAGCAUGUAGCGGAGUGGGAGAAGUGCUGCUACCAUAGGAAUGAACGCAGCAGCAGCACUAGUUCACCAUUCAACGUUAAACAAGGAACUGUCCCUGGCACAUCUUCCAACCGUGUACCAGGUUCUGUAUGCACUACAAGUUAAGAUGUUUUGCAUAUUCAUGAGAAAAGAUCUCAUUUUAUAGAACACUGGCACUUAUUUAAAAGCUUUGUUUUGCAAUUCUAGCCCAAUAGGGAAAAGUAUUUACUUAAGAGCAUAUAAAUUGUACUUGUUUUCUAUGGUCUACUUUGCAAGUUUUAUCAAAAAAGGGCACCAUUUUAUUUAUUUCUAUUUGUUUUUAAGGGUGUGUUUAUUUAUUUAUUUUUUAAGUUUGAGGGUGCAUUGUGUCAGUACCUAAACUAUGUUGGAGAAAGCUUUCUAAAAGUCACUAGAUGUUCUCACUGUUUACAAUAGUUUUUUUUUGCUUGUUUCUGGUUGCACUUUAACCACAAAUGGAACAUUUUAAGUGAAAACAAAUUAAAUAAGAACUAGUUUUUAACCAUUUCUUUAUCAUCUUUAGUUUGAUUUUUAGUAGGGGGAAAAAUCUAUUUAAAUAAAAAAUUGGAUUAAAAAAAAAAAAUCCAAGUUUUUUUUUUUUUUCGGCCAUAUCGCCCAGUUCUAUUCUCUAGUUUAGAGGGUUUUUUAUAAAACACACCUAAGGAAAAUAGCAGGUAUUAAUAAAGCUAUUGAUUCCAUACUUUUAAAAAGGUAAUGAUUUUCUUUAACUAUAUAAAUGUUUUAAUCGUUUUGUGUAUUGUAUGCUUUUAGUUGCUUCCUGUUUUGUAUUUGUGUUCAUGUACUUAAGGCUUUAAUCCUUUUAUCUUGAUAUUGUUUAUCUUUUGAUGUUUAUUAAUUACUUAACUGUAUUUAUCUUUAUGUAGUAUACUGUUAGUGUUUUAAUCCAUACACUUUUUGUAUAUAUUUCUUUUAUUGCUUAGUUACUUGCUAUAUUAAUGGUUAUUAUAUUGGUGUUUUAGUCUUAUUUUGGGCUUAUAUUCAUUAAAAACAUUUUAACGUUUGUCUAUUAGUGCUUUAAUUAAUUAAUAUUGUACUUACCUUUUACUAUUUUACUAUUAAUCUUUCUGUACUUAAUUCUGAUAUUUAUACAUUAUUUUUUAUAUAAUUUUAUUUCAGCUUUGUAUUACAUUGUUUAUUAAUUGUAUGUCUUUAUACGGGAUUUUAUAUUUGCAUUGUAUAUAUUUUUGUUUCAUUUAAUGUUUAUGCUCUUUGUCUUUUUCAGAUUUUUACAUUUUUCAAUUUGUGUAUUGACCCAAGGAGUAUGGGUUCCUCUCAAGGUUUCUAUCUCUCUUUCUGAGAGAAUUUUCUUUGCCGCUGUCUCCUUUGUGCUUACUCAAAAGAGGUUUGGACACUUUUUUUUUUUUUAACUGUUCUUAAUUUUGUUUGUUUCUUAACUUUGUCAAUAAAUGUUUUUUUAUUGCUAUCA